UAUCCACAUGGAUACCAAGGUUUUAAAAUUUGGUAUCCCUCCCGAUAAUCCAGUAUCCUAAAUCUGGAUACUUAACUAGUUGGCUUUUCGUAUCCCACAGGGCCAGACCCAACAUCACUCUAAGGCUUACUCUUUGUCAACUACGUCAAGCAUUUUCGUCCAUCGCAUUUUAUGUUUAAUAUACUAGAAUCCUAAAAGGAACUUAUACAGUUCAAAUAUUCAAUUUCUUAACAGUUAACAGGGUUAUUUAAUUAUAGAUUAAAGUCUAAGUGUCAACUUCUCUGAUUUUUAAUGCUAUCAGUAUGCACUCAAAUGGGAACUACAGCGUCAUUAUCAUCAUCAUUGGCUGUAUUAUCAUGAAGACCAUUGCCUGCAUCAGGAGUUUUG